rnacentral:rRNA from 1 species
AGAGUUUGAUCCUGGCUCAGGAUGAACGCUAGCUACAGGCUUAACACAUGCAAGUCGAGGGGCAGCAUGUCGGUUGCUUGCAACCGAUGAUGGCGACCGGCGCACGGGUGAGUAACGCGUAUCCAACCUACCCUUGUCCAUCGGAUAACCCGUCGAAAGGCGGCCUAACACGAUAUGCGGUUCUCAGCAGGCAUCUAACGAGAACGAAAUGUGAAGGAGAAGGAUGGGGAUGCGUCUGAUUAGCUUGUUGGCGGGGUAACGGCCCACAAGGCUACGAUCAGUAGGGGUUCUGAGAGGAAGGUCCCCCACAUUGGAACUGAGACACGGUCCAAACUCCUACGGGAGGCAGCAGUGAGGAAUAUUGGUCAAUGGACGGGAGUCUGAACCAGCCAAGUAGCGUGCAGGACGACGGCCCUAUGGGUUGUAAACUGCUUUUAUAGGGGGAUAGAGUGUGCCACGUGUGGCAUAUUGCAGGUACCCUAUGAAUAAGGACCGGCUAAUUCCGUGCCAGCAGCCGCGGUAAUACGGAAGGUCCGGGCGUUAUCCGGAUUUAUUGGGUUUAAAGGGAGCGUAGGCCGUCUUAUAAGCGUGUUGUGAAAUGUCGGGGCUCAACCUGGGCAUUGCAGCGCGAACUGUGAGACUUGAGUGCGCAGGAAGUAGGCGGAACUCGUCGCGUAGCGGUGAAAUGCUUAGAUAUGACGAAGAACUCCGAUUGCGAAGGCAGCCUGCUGUAGCGCAACUGACGCUGAAGCUCGAAAGCGUGGGUAUCGAACAGGAUUAGAUACCCUGGUAGUCCACGCGGUAAACGAUGGAUGCUCGCUGUUUGCGUCUGACGUAAGCGGCCAAGCGAAAGCGUUAAGCAUCCCACCUGGGGAGUACGCCGGCAACGGUGAAACUCAAAGGAAUUGACGGGGGCCCGCACAAGCGGAGGAACAUGUGGUUUAAUUCGAUGACACGCGAGGAACCUUACCCGGGCUUGAACUGUAGGCGAACGAUUCAGAGAUGAAGAGGCCCUUCGGGGCGCCUAUGGAGGUGCUGCAUGGUUGUCGUCAGCUCGUGCCGUGAGGUGUCGGCUUAAGUGCCAUAACGAGCGCAACCCUUGUUCGUAGUUGCCAUCGGGUUAUGCCGGGCACUCUGCGAAGACUGCCUCCGUAAGGAGUGAGGAAGGUGGGGAUGACGUCAAAUCAGCACGGCCCUUACGUCC